CGUGCAUAACGAGGGGGAGAGGAGGGGUCCUGACUCGCACUCUGAUUGGCUGCUGUGCUUGAGGGCGGGGUUGUUUUUAUUGAGGAGCCUGGCGAUUGGUGAACGGCGUUGUCAAUGAGAGAACGAUAUAAAGCGAUUGGUUGAUGUCUCCCAGGUGUCGGGUUGAUUCAGGGAAAGAGGCGAUGCUUCACAGAGAGACUCCAAAGAGACCAGGCAGGUGUUAAGACAAGGUAAAGAGAUGAAGUGACCUAGUGGCUAGAAUUUGGAGAGAAAGUUCCAGAUAUAUGUGGUAGCAUAAGUAGAAAAGUGGCAGCCUCCCUCUGCAGCUAUGAAGUCACAAGAAGCAGCCCAGUUUGUGUGAGCAGACGGGGGAGUUGCUGGACAUGAGUUUCACCAUUGUUAGCAUGAGAGCCUUCUCCUCUGCAGCACAAACCAUCUACAGCAGCCUGCCUCUCAAUCCACUUCUGUUCAAUCGCAUCUGAGAAGGAAACUUCUGCUCAAGUGUGUAUUUUCGACGGGCCAAACCUUUAAGUCCUGACUGAGUGCCAGAUUGUGCCUGACCUUAUGUGAAUAUCAGGGUUACCGACUCUUAUCACAGGACCCAGGUUAAAACAAACCCAACAAACUCAGAAAUCAUAUUUUAGGUGCCUGCCACAGACUGUCAGCAGCGGCAUUUCAAGAAGCAGUUCAGCCUUUAUCAACAUUCAACAGCAUUGUAAUUCAGUAAUAAUUAAUGUAACAUUAAAAUACACUCUUACCUUUCUAGAUAA